rnacentral:tRNA from 1 species
GAGUAGCUCAAUGGUAGAGCGGGUGGCUGUUAACCACUAGGCUGGGGGUUCAAGUCCCUCCUC